rnacentral:rRNA from 1 species
CCUACGGGAGGCAGCAGUGGGGAAUAUUGGGCAAUGGGCGCAAGCCUGACCCAGCAACGCCGCGUGAAGGAAGAAGGCCUUCGGGUUGUAAACUUCUUUUAUCAGGGACGAAGCAAGUGACGGUACCUGAUGAAUAAGCUGCGGCUAACUACGUGCCAGCAGCCGCGGUAAUACGUAGGUGGCAAGCGUUAUCCGGAGUGACUGGGUGUAAAGGGCGGGUAGGCGGGAGGGAAAGUCAGAUGUGAAAACUAUGGGCUCAACCUAUAGCCUGAAUUUGAAACUGUACUUCUUGAGUGCUGGAGAGGCAAGAGGAAUUCCGGGUGUAGCGGUGAAAUGCGUAGAGAUACGGAGGAACACCAGUGGCGAAGGCGGCUUGCUGGACGGUAACUGACGCUGAGGCGCGAAAGCGUGGGGAGCAAACAGGAUUAGAUACCCGUGUAGUC